CCUACGGGAGGCUGUAGUGGGGAAUAUUGGACAAUGGGGGGAACCCUGAUCCAGCCAUGCCGCGUGUGUGAAGAAGGCCCUCGGGUUGUAAAGCACUUUCAGUGAGGAAGAACGCCUGGUGGUUAAUACCCAUCAGGAAAGACAUCACUCACAGAAGAAGCACCGGCUAACUCCGUGCCAGCAGCCGCGGUAAUACGGAGGGUGCGAGCGUUAAUCGGAAUUACUGGGCGUAAAGCGCGCGUAGGUGGCUUGAUAAGCCGGUUGUGAAAGCCCCGGGCUCAACCUGGGAACGGCAUCCGGAACUGUCAAGCUAGAGUGCAGGAGAGGAAGGUAGAAUUCCCGGUGUAGCGGUGAAAUGCGUAGAGAUCGGGAGGAAUACCAGUGGCGAAGGCGGCCUUCUGGACUGACACUGACACUGAGGUGCGAAAGCGUGGGUAGCAAACAGGAUUAGAUACCCUAGUAGUC
rnacentral:rRNA from 1 species